UACAGAGGGUGCGAGCGUUGUCCGGAAUCACUGGGCGUAAAGGGCGCGUAGGUGGCGGCAUGAGGCCGUGGUGAAAGUCUGGGGCUCAACUCCGGAUCUGCGGUGGGUACGGGCAGACUAGAGUGAUGUAGGGGAGACUGGAAUUCCUGGUGUAGCGGUGAAAUGCGCAGAUAUCAGGAGGAACACCGAUGGCGAAGGCAGGUCUCUGGGCCGAUACUGACGCUGAGGAGCGAAAGCGUGGGGAGCGAACAGG
rnacentral:rRNA from 1 species